AGCAUCUAAGCAUGAAGCCCCCCUCAAGAUGAGAUUUCCCAUAGCGUAAGCUAGUAAGAUCCCUGAAAGAUGAUCAGGUUGAUAGGUUCGAGGUGGAAGCAUGGUGACAUGUGGAGCUGACGAAUACUAAUAGAUCGAGGACUUAACCAUAUAA
rnacentral:rRNA from 1 species